rnacentral:rRNA from 1 species
CCUACGGGGGGCAGCAGUAGGGAAUCUUCCGCAAUGGACGCAAGUCUGACGGAGCAACGCCGCGUGAGUGAGGAAGGUCUUCGGAUUGUAAAACUCUGUUGCCGGGGAAGAAGAGCAAGGAGAGGGAAUGCUCUUUGCGUGACGGUACCCGAGAAGAAAGCCCCGGCUAACUACGUGCCAGCAGCCGCGGUAAUACGUAGGGGGCAAGCGUUGUCCGGAAUUAUUGGGCGUAAAGCGCGCGCAGGCGGUUUUUUUAGUCUGAUGUGAAAAGGCAGGGCUCAACCCUGUUUGGCAUUGGAAACUGGAAGACUGGAGUGCAGAAGAGGAGAGUGGAAUUCCACGUGUAGCGGUGAAAUGCGUAGAGAUGUGGAGGAACACCAGUGGCGAAGGCGACUCUCUGGUCUGUAACUGACGCUGAGGCGCGAAAGCGUGGGGAGCAAACAGGAUUAGAUACCCUAGUAGUC